UAUGGAACCAUUUAGACAAAAAGGUUCUUCUAUGGCAUCGUGAAGCACCUUUAUGUUUAAGAGUGUAGCUCAUCAUGUGUUCAUACAUGGGAGGACUAUGAAAGAAGCUGGACAGUUUGUCCAACCGAACCUAAACCGUUACAUGGUUGCAUCCAUUGUCUGUACUUUCAGGAGGGAAAACGGAACUGAGAGGCGGCCAUCUAUAGGAGGUAGGAGAAGACCUCUCACAGCUGAGCAGGAGACUACCCUGGUGAAUAUGGUAAUUGCCAAUAAUGCCAUCCGUUUGAGGGAAAUUCAAACCCAAAUAGUUGAAGGUAGUCUUCCAAGGAAUUGACCGCAUCAGCAUUUCCACUAUUGACUGGAUCAUUCAGAGGAACCAAAUAAGGACAAAGCAGCUGUACCGUGUGCCUUAUGAAAGGAAUUCAAAUGGUUAAGGAGCAACGAUUCCAAUAUGUGCAGAGGGUCUUUGAGCUGGAUGCCAUGGCUGACCCACAUGAGUAUACAUCUUCAUUGAGGCAGGGUUCAACCUGACAUAGUGCAAAAGAGGGCUCAACAUCCUUGGUCACCGUGCGGUCACAAGUUCCUGGCCAGAGGGGAGGCAACACCACCAUAUGUGCAGCCAUCAGCAAUCGUGGCGUCCUCCACCACCAUGCCAAACUGGGUCCAUACAACACGGCACAACUCUAGAUUUCUAGAUCAGCUGCACAAUAACAUUCUUCAACAGGAAGGGGAGCCAGGGCAACCAGAGCAGGUCCAAUAUGUUGUCAUUUGGAUAACGUGAGUUUCCAUCGUGCUGCUCUGGUUCACACCUGGUUCAAUGCCCACCCCAGGUUCUCUUUUUUUUUUUUUUGCCAGCAUAUUCCCCAUUUCUGAAUCCGAUUGAGGAAUUUUUCUCAGCAUGGUGGUGGAAAGUGUGUGACCGCAACCCCCAUGUACACCAAAACCUCCUGGAAGCAAUGCUGGAUGCCUGUGAAGAUGUGUCUGUGGAGUCCGUGUUAUAUAAGGCACACAAGGGCUUUUUAUUUUUUUUUUCCACUCUGCCUCGCAAGAGCAAACAAUGCGUGAUGUUGAUGAGAUUAUGGCCUGACCCACACCUGAGAUGAGAUGAUUAUGAGAACGCUCGCUGUUGCUGAGUAACCUGUACAUUUGCUUGCCUUUGGAAA